CUUUUACCAGGAGAAGGUGGUGACAUAACACCCUCCCUCCGUAUUUCUCUCGGGGCAUGUUGUUCUCCUCACACCAGUGUCUGGCAAUGUCUUUGGCUGUGCACAUAUUUGGUUUUCUCUUCUUCUGGCUUUCAUGCCAAGUGAGGGCUGUAACAUUUCACCAAUCUCCUCCUCAGAUCGUGAAGGAGGACACUGAGGUCCAGAUUAAAUGCAGCCAUGAUGAUACUACCCUUCCUGUAAUGUUAUGGUACCAGCAAAAAAAGGACACUCUGUCUAUGACCCUCAUUGGGUAUGGAUAUGAAAACUCCCAAAACUAUGAGGGUCAAUUUGAAAAACAAUUCAAGCUGACAAGAGAAAACACAGUAAAAGGAGCUCUAAUGAUACACAAAGCAAACCUGUCACACUCUGCUGUUUAUUUCUGCGCUGCCAGUACACAGUGAUUUGGUUUAAUACCUCCCCCUCACUAAAACCCUGAUGGCAGCAGGUCUUGUUUUAGCAGACUCUCAUUAUAGGAAGCUGUGUUCCUCCUGCUGCAGCACAGACCCACACGAUGUCUCCAGCUGUGAUUGGAUUUCUUCUCAUCUUGUUUACAUGUAAUUGAUAACUAUAAAAACUAUUAUUUUAUAUUAUAUGAUUGUAAUUACAUUAUGGCUUCUGAACCAACAGCUUUUAAAAUCUGUUUUUCCCUGCAGAUCAAACUAAGGGUGUGACAUUCCAGCCGUCUCAUCCAAGAAUAGUCAAUGAAAAAACCAGGGUAGAGAUUAAUUGCAGUCAUAAUGACGGCAAUCUUGACAUAAUGCUCUGGUACCAGCAAACAGAGAGCAGGCUGAUGGAUUUAAUUGGAUAUGGCUACAUUAACAGUGACCCCAGCUAUGAGAAGAAGUUUAAAGAUGAAUUUGAGAUUACAAGAAAAAACAUCCAAACAGGAGCCCUGAUUAUUCGCAGUGCAACUCUAGCAAACUCAGCUGUGUAUUUCUGCGCUGGCAGAACACAGUGAUGUGGUUUAAUGUGUCACCAUAACUAAAAACCUGCUCUCUCUUUUCUGAUGUUUUCAAUACUGCAUGUAGUGUCUCUCUAUGACAUCUCCCUGAGCUAAAAUUUGCAGCCAGCACCCAGGCAUGAAAAGGCAGGAGGACAGAUCAAAGUUGGCCAGCAUUGCACCAGUAGUUAGCUCAACCAAACAGCACAAAGCUCAAGUGCCAACUCAUGAAAGACAAAUAAUCAGCAAGUGGUUGUUUUUCUUUGUGUGAUAGUAAAUCAGUAAUAUUUGGUGUUCUGUGCUGCUGAUUAGUCAAAACAAACUGUUUGGAAACUUCACCUAAAGCAGUGAUGUCCAGCAUCUCUUGGUGGAGCACGUGACGGAGUACAGGAAAGGACAAAUCUAAUUCAGACAAAUCACAUUUCCGCAUCACUGAUGUGAGGAAUAACCCAGUUUAUUCAACAACAGCUUAGACAGAACGCAACUCAGUUUAAACUUGUACGGUUUAACACACUGUAUUAGUAUUUUCUUUGUCCCAGUGUACAUGUAGUGCUGAGUGUGCAGUAAUGAAUUUAAAUGCAACCUGCAACUUCAAGUGCUUUUCCAUCCUGACAUAAACUUUGUGGGCUUCACUUAAUGUCUAAAGUUUAAAGUGAUUAAAAUAAACUAACUUAACUGAUGGUUAUUAAAAUCACAAUCACAACUCAAUCUUCCUCAAACACAAAAUCUAAUUUCUCAUUUACACUAAAGGUUCUUUACAUAAACAGCAAACGAGAAUUAGUCAAAUAUGAUCAUGUGACCCAGUUUCAUUUGUACUGAACAGACAUGUGACACUGCAUCAU
rnacentral:lncRNA from 1 species